GGGGAAGUGUGUAUAUUACUUGAUAAUGAAAUGUUUUGCAUGGCAUUUUGGACCAUAUCAAAUCUUUUUCAAAAAGGCUUAAGAUAGUUAGGAAUAAUAUUGUCAUUUAUACCAAAACAUUAUUCUAUAUUUUCUGUACUUGGAAGCAGUGUUGUCGUCAGAGAAGACCACAAGGGAUAGAGAAAUCAAGUGCAUUUUCCCAGAGAAACAAGGUAUUGAAAUGCACGAACUAUUUCCAGGGAGAACUAAGAAGUCACAUUACACAGGACAUUUUUCUUUGUCACUGGAAGAUAAUGAAGUUUGAAGUUCUCAAAUUGUUGAAGAGUAGUUUUUUGGUUGAAGAGUAUGUUUCUGACACUCACUUCACUUUAAUCUUUUCCUUUAGAAGUUCCAAAAGUCAAUCAUUAUUUUCUUUUUAUUCCAACAUUUUUUAUAAUUAUUUUUGCCCUAUAAUGUUGCUAAGUUUUAUGAGUAUAGCACAAUGAAGGACAAAUGUCUGCAUUUCAUACCUUUGUUUCCACGAGUUAUAAAUUCCUGCUGCUUGCAAGAAGGAGCCUAAAAGAAUGAUAGUAGCCAAAUACCAUUCCAGAAAGCACCCUUCUGCAGUUUAAUUUUCUUUUACAGAAGUUGCUUUUCCUCGUUAGAUGUACAUUGGCCAAGGGAUUUUUUUUUUUUAAAGAUUUUAUUUAUUUAUUUGACAGAGAGAGAGAGAGAGAUCACAGGCAGGCAGGGAAGGCUGGGGGAAGCAGGCUCCCUGUUGAGUGGAGAGCCCAAUGUGGGGCUCAAUCCCAGGACCCUGAGAUCAUGACCUGAGCUGAAGGCAGAGUCUUAACCCACUGAGCCACCCAGGGGCCUCAGGGCCAAGGGAUUUUAAAAGUAAAAAGGUGUACUUCAG
rnacentral:lncRNA from 1 species